AGUUUGAUUUUCGGCUCAGAUUGAACGCUGGCGGGAUGUCUUACCACACAUGCAGUCGAGCAGCAGCACGGACUUCAGUCUGGUGGCGUGUGGUGAGUAAUGUAUCGGAACGUGCCCUAGUAGCGGGGGAUAACUACGCGAAAGCGUAGCUAAUACCACAUACGCCCUUCGGAAGCGGGGACCUUCGGGCCUCGCACUAUUAGAGCGGCCGAUAUCGGAUUAGCUAGUUGGUGGGGUAACGGCUCACCAAGGCGACGAUCCGUAGCUGGUUUGAGGACGACCAGCCACACUGGGACUGAGACACGGCCCAGACUCCUACGGGAGGCAGCAGUGGGAAUUUUGGACAAUGGGGAAACCCUGAUCCAGCCAUCCCGCGUGUGCGAUGAGCCUUCGGGUUGUAAAGCACUUUUGGCAGGAAAAAACGGCACGGGAUAAUACCCCGUGCAACUGACGUACCUGCAGAAUAAGCACCAGCUAACUACGUGCCAGCAGCCGCGGUAAUACGUAAGUGCAACCGUUAAUCAGGGUACUGGGCGUAAAGCGUGCGCAGGCGGUUCGGAAAAGAAAGAUGUGAAAUCCCAGAGCUUAACUUUGGAGCUGCAUUUUUAACUGAAAGCUAAGGGAGUGCUGUGUCCAGAGGGGUCGUUCACAUGAUAAUAGCAGUGAAAUGCCUGUGUGGAUAUGCGGAGGAACACCGAUGGCGAAGGCAACCUCCUGGGAUAACACUGACGCUCAUGCACGAAAAGCGUGGGAGCAAACAGGAUUAGAUACCCUGGUAGUCCACGCCCUAAACGAUGUCAACUAGCUGUUGGGGCCUUCAGGCCUUGGUAGCGCAGCUAACGCGUGGUUAAACCGCCUGGGAAAUUACGGUCGCAAGAUUAAAACUCAAGGAAUUGACGGGGACCCGCACAAGCGGUGGAUGAUGUGGAUUAAUUCGAUGCAACGCGAAAAACCUUACCUACCCUUGACAUGUCUGGAAUCCCGAAGAGAUUUGGGAGUGCUCGCAAGAGAACCGGAACACAGGUGCCAUGGCUGUCGUCGGCUCGUGUCGUGAGAUGUUGGGUUGGUCACAACGAAGAGCACAACCCUUGUCGGUGGUUGCUGAAAGGCAGCUGUAGACACCUUGAAGUGACAAACCGGAGGAAGGUGGGGAUGACGUCAAGUCCUCAUGGCCCUUAUGGGUAGGGCUUCACACGUCAUACAAUGGUCGGGACAGAGGGUCGCCAACCCGCGAGGGCCGUCCCAAAGCCCGAUCGACAGUCAGGAUCAUGAGUCCUGCAGCUCGACUGCGUGAAGUCGGAAUCGCGAGUAAUCGCGGAUCAGCAUGUCGCGGUGAAUACGUUCCCGGGUCUUGUACACACCGCCCGUCACACCAUGGGAGUGGGUUUUACCAGAAGUAGUUAGCCUAACCGUAAGGAGGGCGAUUACCACGGUAGGAUUCAUGACUGGGGUCAAAGUCGUAACAAGGUAA
rnacentral:rRNA from 1 species